rnacentral:rRNA from 1 species
UAAACCCUCACCAGAGUAACAAUUGGAGGGCAAGUCUGGUGCCAGCAGCCGCGGUAAUUCCAGCUCCAAUAGCGUAUAUUAAACUUGUUGCAGUUAAAAAGCUCGUAGUUGAAUUUUUGCGUGGUGUUAAUAUUGACUGAUGUCGAGAUUGCACUUCGCUUUUGGGAUUUUUCCCUUUUUACUUUGAGAAAAUUAGAGUGUUUCAAGCAGACUUUUGUCUUGAAUACUUCAGCAUGGAAUAAUAGAGUAGGACUUUGGUUCUAUUUUGUUGGUUUGUGAACCUUAGUAAUGGUUAAUAGGAACGGUUGGGGGCAUUCGUAUUUAACUGUCAGAGGUGAAAUUCUUAGAUUUGUUAAAGACGAACUACUGCGAAAGCAUUUGCCAAGGACGUUUUCAUUAAUCAAGAACGAAAGUUAGGGGAUCGAAGACGAUCAGAU